rnacentral:rRNA from 1 species
AACUUUCGCAUUAUCUUCGGAUUUUGUUGUUUCGAGCCGAGUGGCGGACGGGUGAGUAACACGUAAGUAACCUGGCCAUUAGUGGGGAACAACCCUGGGAAACUGGGGCUAAUGCCGCAUGUUUUCUAUUUAUCGCAUGGUAGAUAGAAUAAAGAUUUAUCGCUAAUGGAUGGGCUUGCGUACGAUUAGUUUGUUGGUGGGGUAAUGGCCUACCAAGACUACGAUCGUUAGCUGGUCUGAGAGGAUGAUC